CAAACUCUUCAGAUUUUUAAUCUUUUUUUUUUUUUUUUUUGCCAAGUUGACUGGUUGUCAGUGGACUUAUCUGUGAACAUAAAUGGAAGAGGUUUCCAUGGCUGCUGUCCCUUCUGUAACCAUGGUUUCACAACAGGAAGCAACUGUGUGAGCUAAACUGAAGGAGAAGCAUCUGCAUUUGCCAAUAGAAGACGUGAAGCUUGCUGGUGUCUGAGCUACAGCCUCACAGUGUGGAACAAACCUUCUGCAGGACAAAAGCAUUUCCAGUAGAAUUCCAGGCUUUCAGGCAGACUCUCCGCUACAGCUGAAGGAUUCAACACCUCAGUCGGAUGCGCCAGAUCCUCAGAUUGACCAAUAGCUGCUGCUUUCAUCCUUUUUCAAGGGGUUAAGUCCCAGGGAUGGAGCCAGCGGGAGAGGACAAGCACGAACUGCAGCCGAGAAAGGGACACGAUGUGAAGGGGGGAGCACAAGGCUCUGGGCUCUGCACCUGCAGCAGAAGCUGGAAGUGACUGUGGUUUGCUGCCUGUCCGUGCUUGCAGGUGUCCAGCUUUGUGUUCCCUGAGAUCUCUGCUGCAGAAUUCCUGGGAUGCGGCGUUUCGGCUCGUUGGGAUGUCAGCUUUGGCCUUCUGGACUGUGCUUUGUUGUGCUGCUGUUUGCAUAAAGGCAAAGGUGAUUGAUUAGCAAACUAUGUUAGAGGAUAAUUGUGGAACUACGUGUGUCUCGUGGUGUGGAGGGAGUGAGUCCGGCUGGAGAAGGGCGGAAGCAGGAGAUGAAGAUGAUGAUGAUGAUGGAUGUUGCAGGCCCGUGUCAGACAGGAGAUGAUUUAAAAGCGGGGAGAGAUGCUCAGUCCUCCACUUCUGGAGAAGUCCAAGACCCAUUUUGUGCUCUCUGCCAGGAGAAAACGAGGCUCCCUGGCCUGGGGAGAGCAGGGAAGCUUAGCUGGUGUGUGGGUUUUGAUUCCAGCCCGGGCAGAGCUGCUGUUGUAACCCAAGGAGAGGGGCUGCUGGAAUGCGUAGGGAAGCACCUCUCCCAGCCCACACUGGUGGGUGCAACCUCGAGGGGCAAUGACAGACUCUGGGCACCACCACGAGCCCUUUGUCAGGCCCUUUGCUGCUGGAGGCUGCUCAGUGCAGACCCAGGUGGAGGGCACAGCUUGCUCAAAAAUUUUGGGUGGAAAACACAGUCCAGACAUGGGUGAGAACCUCUGGAUUUCAAAAGGCCUUGUUUACAUUUCUUCUGCUUUACAAAGUCGUAACUGUUUAGCAGCUCUAUACUACACUGCAGGAAAGAAGACAUAUUCUCACACUUUUCUAAGGAAGAGAAGCUUUUCUUAUUAGAAUUUUUUUAUUUAUUUUAAUAUAAAACACUGUAAAAAAAAAGCAACAAACAAUUUGUUUUCUUAAACACACAGAACAUGUAAAUUUGUAUCCGUAAAAUCUUGGCAGGUGGAUGUGGUGGGAUUAUUUUUGUCCUGUUCUGGUGCAGUCUACCUCAGUGUUUCUUAAGGAUAUUUUUAAUACUACGCACCUCUAAACCUGUUUAAAUAUUUUGGUCUGGACCUAUUGUGGAUCAGGGAAAAUCAGUAUCAGCUGAUUCCAAUACCAGGGACCAUUCAUGAAGGGAAUGGGAAAGAGAACAGUUCGUCACUGUUGAUCCCUAAUCUGAGCAGUAGUGACAAUGAACCCAUUUUCAAAUUUGGAUCUGAUCUUGUCCUAUUAGUUCUGUUGUGAUUUUUAAAAAACAACACAACAAAAGAGCCAUUUAAAUGUUUGGACUGUAGUGAACUCAUGACCUGAAAGAAGCAGGCUGCUUCCUCCUGGAGCAGCAUGUGCCAGCAUGGAGCGGGGACUGGGACCAGCUCUUGCUCUUGGGGUUGGAUUGGGGUGUCUUGGUCCUGCCAGUGACCUCCUGAAAUAAAUCUUUCCCAGCAUACCCUUGCUUUGAUAACAUUUCCAGUGGCAGUGAUCAUAACUGUGGAAAGAGAAGCUCUUUUAUCUAAAGGAAUAUUGGAACCUCGUAUUGGGUCUGGCUUUUCCACGUGGUUGAUACUGGUUGGCCCUGUGAGUACACAUGGUUUACAACACUCAGAUCACUGAACCAGGGAGCGUGUGUUGCUCCAUGGACAAGAGUCCAUUCCCAUGGCUCAUCUUCCCUCUGCACCAAACGGAGCAGUUGUUUGUACCCAGCACUGUGUGUAAAGAUUCCUCUGGUCAUCCUUCCUACCUUGUGCCCGGAGUGUGGAGAGGUGUGUGGUACCAGUGGGGGAGGGUGUCGUGUUUCUCCUUUUUAAAAACAAAUAACACUAGUAGUUGCUGCUCGUGGCUGUUCCUGAUCACACUCAGCUGUAGAAUUAGGAAGAAUAAAAUCACCCAUAAAGCCCAGCUCUCACUGCUGGAAGAUCCUUACUCAGCCCAUAGCCAACUCUUUGGUCUCUGCAGCUGGAAGAUCCUUGCCCCAGGGAUGCCUCAAUCCUUCCUUGGAUCUCACUGAUUCCUGCUCAGAGACAUGAGGACUUUAUACAAGUGGAGACCGCAUGUGCCAGAUGAAAGCUCUGGGGUGCUGUGAGCGCCCCCAGCCUGGGCAGGGGCGUUGAGCUGAGCCUUUCUUGCGGGGAGCUGCUGCUUUUGCUCCAGCCAGAUCCUUAUGGGGCGAGAAUUCCCAGCUGCAGUGGAUGCACAACAUUCACUGCUGCUCCUCAGGAGGAGCAGGAGAGCAGGUGGGAUGGCUGGAGGAGGGCAGCCAGCAUCAGCAAGUGGGAAGCUCUUUCUUUCCUUGCAUUAGUAUUUACUGGAGGGUUGGCUCCUGCCCUUUGUGUGCAGAGAACGUCUCACUCGCAGCACAAGAGACUCUUCAGCCUGUCCAGGAGCAGCUGGAGCCUCCUGGACACAAUCUGGCAUCCCCGCAUAGACAGAAAUUCACUCUGUGGUGAAUCAUGAGGAGCAAGAAACAGCUCUCUGUGCUCUGCUGAGCUUUCACUGAGAAAAUAUCUGAAGUGUGAGGCUGGAGGUUUCUCAGAAAGGUUUCCACAUAAAUUCAAUUGCCACUUCCUGAAUGACUCUUGCCAAUCUGGAACUUCUCUUGCAGGCCAGUGCAGUGCUGCAAAGCUUGGCUGCCAGGUUAGGAACGUGUCUGUCUUGGCUGCUUGUAAAUACUCUAUUGUGUUGUAAAAUAGAAGAGCUAAAACUCUGUGCCAGCACUGGGUUGGGAAAAGUGAUGGGAACUAGACCACACUGCAACGAUGAUCGUAAAGCAGCUGUGUGGAUGUGGAAGAGGCUGCUUUUAGGUUGCUAAAGGGUAAUCUUAAUUUAUGGGUAGUUUAUCUCUUUCCUCCUAAAUUUGUAUUAUAGCGAUGGGACACUUUGCUUAAUUUUAGUAUGUUGCAUAUAAUGCUGGGAAAAAAAAAAUCUCAAAGUUGCUUCUUGUGUUACUGAGCUGACUGUGAUGAAGGCAAGUAGGAAACGACAGGAGCCAGAAGGGUGCUGAGCCUCUGUUUUAGGGGAGGGAGGGAGGCAGUCGAGUUCCCUCUCAAGACCACUGUGACACAGAGACGGAUCCUGAGGUCCCCCAUGCCCUUCGCUGCAAGUGGCGAUUCCUGCUACCAAGACUGGAACCUUGUUUUUACAAGUCAGAAAGUCAAAUAUCUUUGUGCCAUAAAACCUUACUCUCAAGGCUGUGCUAGGUGCUCCCGUGAUCCGUGCGGGAUUGGUUCCGAGCCUGGAGUGAGCCAGGAACUGCAGAUAAACCCUGUGAUCUUCUUGCUGUGCCCUCGGAGGACGUGCAGGCACCCCGGUCCCUCCGAAAGAGCCCCUCAUAAUGUCCUGUGUGUGUGGUCCAGGGAAAGGAACUGUCAAAUGGAUUGGAAUCAAGAAAUAAGUUACUUCAUGAAAUUUGAAAUAAGAUUAGUUUGGUUAUUUGUAUGAAUUUAAUGGAAUUUGGCCUUUUUAUUACCUUCUGCUUGGCUCUGUUCCCUCUGCUUGGAUUCUGUCUGUGAGUGUCGGUGUAAGGCCUUGACGUGUUCAGCCUCGUUACAAGCAUCACAAGAGUGAAGCCAAUCAUCCAGUUGACUUCUGGAGGAACCUGACUGUUGAAAAACAACUCUAAAGUUACUGUGUUUAGCAAAUCUGCUGUCAUUAAAUGUGUAUUUCUUUUUAAAAUGAAUUUGCUUGUCCUUCUUGGAAGGAAGCACUUAUUCUUGCAGUUUGGGCAAAUUCACUGCAGCACAAUGUAAGCUGUAAGGGGACAGGUAGAGAAAUGACUUUUUAAAUAUUGUAUAAUAAAGUUAGUAUUAACUCCUA